rnacentral:lncRNA from 1 species
GUGCGACCGCGCCGGGCGCAGGGGCGGGGAGGCCCGGAGCCAUUUAAGCCCCGAGAGCCGCCGGGGGGGGGGGAGGCGGCGGGCGCCCGCGCGCACUAGGUCCUCUGCCUGCCGAGCAGCCGCCGCCUGCCCAGUGACCAUGCUAGAGCGAAGCUCCUAAGUGAGCUUGGUGACUGACGCUGGCGGAAUUCCAUGCAGUGCGGCUGUUGGCCCCAAGCAAGAUGAGCACAAU